rnacentral:rRNA from 1 species
GAUGAACGCUGGCGGCGUGCCUAAUACAUGCAAGUCGAGCGAACAGACGAUGAGCUUGCUCCUCUGACGUUAGCGGCGGACGGGUGAGUAACACGUGGAUAACCUACCUAUAAGACUUGGAUAACUUCGGGAAACCGGAGCUAAUACCGGAUAAUAUAUUGAACCGCAGGGUUCAAUAGUGAAUGACGGUUUUCCUGUCACUUUUAGAUGGAUCCGCGCCGCAUUAGCUAGUUGGUAAGGUAACGGCUUACCAAGGCAACGAUGCGUAGCUGACCUGAGAGGAUGAUCGGCCACACUGGAACUGAGACACGGUCCAGACUCCUACGGGAGGCAGCAGUGGGGAAUAUUCCGCAAUGGGCGAAAGCUUGACGGAGCAACGCCGCGUGAGUGAUGAAGGUCUUCGGGUCGUAAAGCUCUUUUAUUGGGGAAGAACAACUGUAUGAGAAUCUCUCCAUGUCUUGACGGUACCUAAUCAGUAAGCACCGGCUAACUUCGUG